rnacentral:tRNA from 1 species
UGGGGCUGUAGCUCAAUGAUAGAGCACUUGCCUAGCAUGUAUGAGGUACUGGGUUUGAUCCUCAGCACCACAA